AUUGAACGCUGGCGGCAUGCCUAACACAUGCAAGUCGAACGGCAGCACGGCAGUAGCAAUACUGUGGGUGGCGAGUGGCGGACGGGUGAGGAAUACGUCGGAAUCUGCCCAGUCGUGGGGGAUAACUAGCCGAAAGGUUAGCUAAUACCGCAUACGACCGAGAGGUGAAAGCGGGGGACUGCAAGGCCUCGCGCGAUUGGAUGAGCCGACGUCGGAUUAGCUAGUUGGUGGGGUAAAGGCCCACCAAGGCGACGAUCCGUAGCUGGUCUGAGAGGAUGAUCAGCCACACUGGAACUGAGACACGGUCCAGACUCCUACGGGAGGCAGCAGUGGGGAAUAUUGGACAAUGGGCGCAAGCCUGAUCCAGCAAUGCCGCGUGUGUGAAGAAGGCCUCGGUUGUAAG
rnacentral:rRNA from 1 species